GGUUUAAUUCGAUGAUACGCGAGGAACCUUACCCGGGCUUAAAUUGCAACCGAAUAUGGCGGAAACGCUAUAGCUAGCAAUAGCGGUUGUGAAGGUGCUGCAUGGUUGUCGUCAGCUCGUGCCGUGAGGUGUCGGCUUAAGUGCCAUAACGAGCGCAACCCUUGCCGAUAGUUACUAACAGGUCAUGCUGAGGACUCUGUCGGGACUGCCAUCGUAAGAUGUGA
rnacentral:rRNA from 1 species